UUCUCUCUGAAUCUGCGAACGGCUCCGCAAACCAGUUGUAAACCAAAGCAAGCAUACUCGGGGACUGCCCUUCACGGGGUGGGCUUCGGGUGAUACGGAUAACCCUGGUAAUUCUGAGGCUAAUACGAGAAUAUAAUCCCUGGCGGACCGGGCAACUGGGAAGCUGGGGGGCGUGUGAUCUAUUUGCAAGACGAUACCAGGAGGGGGUGCACGCUCUGACCGCGAUAAAGACGGUUCCGGUAAACCUUCGGGCGAGCUGGUUCCGAGCGGCUCUUGCGAUGUGCUUCUGACCUAUCAACUAGAUGGCAGCGUAACGGACAUGCCAUGGUUACAACGGGUAC
rnacentral:rRNA from 1 species